CAAAAAAAAAAAAAAUCUAAGACAAUGUGCUGUGUUUGAAUUCCUGGUAUUUGUGUACUCUCUUAGUAUUUUCUGUUUCAUGGAAUACAUGUAAUUAAAUGCUGUUUCCUAUCAUGUGCUUUUUGAGGUUUUCUUUCUUGCAUAGAUAGCAUCAGAUAACAAUAAAUAUGGGUUUUCCUUUUUGUUAGAUCUACCUCCACUUAGCAUUAAAUUAAAUGUUGUCUCCUUAAGACAUUGAAUUGAACAAGCCAAUGCAAGGUGUUUAUCAAUAUUUUUUUAGUCACUUAUCCUUGGUAUUUACUGCCAAUGGAUUUGAUAAUGUUAUUGGAUGUUACUGUUGUACUUUUGUACAACAAAGUAAUGUAUUAUGGGAAUGUGUAUAAUUUCCUAAGUUAACUUCAUUUAAAGCACUCUCUUUCAGUUAUUAAACAUUAUUAUUGUGUUCAUAGUUGAAUUUUCAUAAUUUUUAUGAAAAAGUAACUGCUUACGUGGUGUUUAAUUUGCAUGUUUAGUGCUGUGCAACUAUGUGCCUUUCACCUACUCACUGGAGAAGGGAGCAAAAAAGAUUUUCCUGUCACAGAACAUGUAUAUAGUAGUUGUUUAUUAUUUCAGUUGUGGUGCUGGAGCCAACUGUUGGUUAUUCUUGUGUUUAGAUAAGUUCGCAGAAGAAGAAAA
rnacentral:misc_RNA from 1 species